rnacentral:misc_RNA from 1 species
UCCGGUUUGUCACCGGCAGUCUCCCUAGAGUGCUCUUGCGUAGCAACUAGGGACAAGGGUUGCGCUCGUUGCGGGACUUAACCCAACGUCUCACGACACGAGCUGACGACAGCCAUGCAGCACCUGUGCGACGGUUCUCUUUCGAGCACCCCGGCCUUUCAGCCAGGCUCCGUCCAUGUCAAGGGUAGGUAAGGUUUUUCGCGUUGCAUCGAAUUAAUCCACAUCAUCCACCGCUUGUGCGGGUCCCCGUCAAUUCCUUUGAGUUUUAAUCUUGCGACCGUACUCCCCAGGCGGUCAACUUCACGCGUUAGCUACGUUACCAAGUCAAUGAAGACCCGACAACUAGUUGACAUCGUUUAGGGCGUGGACUAC